AGCGAACGCUGGCGGCAGGCUUAACACAUGCAAGUCGAGCGCCUGUAGCAAUACAGGAGCGGCAGACGGGAGAGUAACACGUGGGAAUAUGCCCUUCGGUUCGGAAUAACUCAGGGAAACUUGAGCUAAUACCGGAUACGCCCUUACGGGGAAAGAUUAUUGCCGAAGGAUUAGCCCGCGUCCGAUUAGCUAGUUGGUGAGGUAACGGCUCACCAAGGCGACGAUCGGUAGCUGGUCUGAGAGGAUGAUCAGCCUCAUUGGGACUGAGACACGGCCCAAACUCCUCCGGGAGGCAGCCGUGGGUAAUAUUGGACAAUGGGCGCAAGCCUGAGCCAGCCAUGCCGCGUGGGUGAUGAAGGCCCCAGGGUUGUAAAGCCCUUUCGGCGGGGAAGAUAAUGACGGUACCCGCAGAAGAAGCCCCGGCUAACUUCGUGCCAGCCGCCGCAGUAA
rnacentral:rRNA from 1 species